rnacentral:rRNA from 1 species
CCUGGGGAGUACGGCCGCAAGGUUAAAACUCAAAUGAAUUGACGGGGGCCCGCACAAGCGGUGGAGCAUGUGGUUUAAUUCGAUGCAACGCGAAGAACCUUACCUGGUCUUGACAUCCACAGAACUUAGCAGAGAUGCUUUGGUGCCUUCGGGAACUGUGAGACAGGUGCUGCAUGGCUGUCGUCAGCUCGUGUUGUGAAAUGUUGGGUUAAGUCCCGCAACGAGCGCAACCCUUAUCCUUUGUUGCCAGCGGUUAGGCCGGGAACUCAAAGGAGACUGCCAGUGAUAAACUGGAGGAAGGUGGGGAUGACGUCAAGUCAUCAUGGCCCUUACGACCAGGGCUACACACGUGCUACAAUGGCAUAUACAAAGAGAAGCGACCUCGCGAGAGCAAGCGGACCUCAUAAAGUAUGUCGUAGUCCGGAUUGGAGUCUGCAACUCGACUCCAUGAAGUCGGAAUCGCUAGUAAUCGUAGAUCAGAAUGCUACGGUGAAUACGUUCCCGGGCCUUGUACACACCGCCCGUCACACCAUGGGAGUGGGUUGCAAAAGAAGUAGGUAGCUUAACCUUCGGGAGGGCGCUUACCACUUUGUGAUUCAUGACUGGGGUGAAGUCGUAACAAGGUAACCGUAGGGGAACCUGCGGUUGGAUCACCUCCUUACCUUAAAGAA